UACGUAGGGGGCAAGCGUUGUCCGGAUUCAUUGGGCGUAAAGAGCGUGUAGGCGGCUUGGUAAGUCCGUUGUGAAAGUCCAGGGCUCAACCCUGGAAUGCCGGUGGAAACUGUCAAGCUUGAGUCCGGAAGAGGCGAGUGGAAUUCCUGGUGUAGCGGUGAAAUGCGCAGAUAUCAGGAGGAACACCAAUGGCGAAGGCAGCUCGCUGGGACGGUACUGACGCUGAGACGCGAAAGCGUGGGGAGCAAACAGG
rnacentral:rRNA from 1 species